rnacentral:lncRNA from 1 species
GCUGGAGCGCGGACUAAGGCACUAGCACCACCUCUAAGCUGCUGGUGUGUACGCGACAGCAACGUGGGGCUGGUUCUCCCCCACGGCGGCGAAGACGCUCCUGUCGGGACGGAAGCGGAAUGGGAAAACUUCGGGGUGAGGAGGACGCCGCGCUUCCCUUUCGUGCUCCCACGCUACUCCAAGCGCUCUCCGCAAACGCGGCGGACGGCUAAAGCGCUCGAGCAGCCGCCGCGUCCUCUGUUCCCCAAAUCACGCCCCGAACUCCGCCGCGAAGGGGCGUCCGUGUCGCCUGCUCCUCUCGCUCGCGACGAAAAAUAGAAAAGCCGGGAUGCGCCUGUUAGCCCACCGGGCACUUUCCCCCACCCCGCAGCCCCCUGUCGGAAUUAACCAGGCGCUGAGCGAGACGGGGCGCGCGGAGAAGGCGGCGUUGUUUCUGUCGCUCCCCGUCCAAAUCGGGGCCAUAUUGCGCGAUCCAGGGCGGUGCUGUUCCUGCCUUGGGUGCUGAGCUCGCGCACCUGCCCAGCGCAAGGUCCUAGCUGGUCUUCUGAUAGGCCACGGUGGGGCUGCCUCGGUGCCCCCCCCACAGAAGUCACAUUACCACGUCGUAAGACUAAGACGACCACCAAAAGCAUUGGUGAAGGCAAGGAGCAUGGACUUGUGUUCGGCUCUUGGUUUCAAAGGAAAUGCGCUUUGCAGAAUACAGAAACGAGGGUGCAACCCACCCGCAGAGAUGUUUAUUGGGGGGGGGCAGGACCCCCUGCUGCUGGAGACGUCUUUCAUCACUGUCAGGACAACAACGAGAUUCCUCUGCAAACCGAUCCCCAGGGCUGAAUUUGGGCAACAUCCCAUGUGGCUGAAAAAUAAAACACAGCUUUCUUUUCUGUUCCCCUGGGACAGCUUCUGACUGCGGGUUUACGAAGAAGCUGCUGGUGGCAUUGAGAGAAUUUGGAGCAACUGCAGUGAGCCCAGCUAAAAUUGCAGCUGCAGCAGUGGCCUGGAGGUGUGUCCAAAGCUGUAGAGGGUUCACCUGCGUGCAUGAAAGAAUGCUUCUGAAAACAUCUGGACACGUCUUUCCAUACUUUCCAUUCUGAAUCUGGAGCGGAGCAGAGAAGCCACGCCCCUUGCUAGACUUCUCCAGAUGCAUUGGAUGGAGCGUAUAUUGAACUAGGCAGCCCAAAAUGUUCCAGUCUGCCUCGGUCUACUCAUGAGUAAACUGGCCCAGGGAGCCUCUAAGGGCCGGUUUAGCAGGGGGAUCCGUUUUAUCUUCGGGGGGCUUCAGUGCUAGGAAGUUUAGUUUAAGAACAUGGAGGCUCAUUCUGAAAAUCACAUGAUGUUGGGGCCAGCAUGGUAGCUGUCCUGGAACACCUGCCCAAAAUUCCAGGACAGUAGGAGUGGACCAGCUGCUGGCACUGUUCUUGCCUGGAUUGGUCCUACUGGACUGGAUCAGGAAAGGUGCGAGAAGGCCCAGGUAGUUUUAGGGCCUU